AUUAAUCAAUAAACGAAUUUAAAAAAAAAAAAAAAAAAAGCACCGGUUCUCGUCCGAUCACCGAAGUUAAGCAGCGUUAGGCGCGGUUAGUACUUGGAUGGGUGACCGCUUGGGAACCCCGCGUGCCGUUGGUA
rfam:Trichomalopsis sarcophagae strain Alberta scaffold1070, whole genome shotgun sequence.